rnacentral:RNase_P_RNA from 1 species
CAGUCGGGUAAUUGCGCUUUUGUAAAAAAAGUGAGGAAAGUCCGUGCAUCUAAGGACAGACUGCCGGAGAAACUCCGGACGGCGUGAGCCGGUGGAAAGUGGCACAGGAAAUAUACUGCCGAUGGAUUUUUAAUCACAGGCGAUGGUGCAACGGUGAGUUAAGAGCUUCACCAGCGAUAUCGAGAGGUAUCGGCUAGCUAAACCCCAGUUGGAUGCAAGAUUGAAUCAGGUGUUUUAAAGGUGUCCGCCAAGCCUGGAGAAAUCGCUUGAGAUUGGAAGCAAUUCCAAUACUAGAUAGAUAAUUACCUAAAAACAGAACACGGCUUAUGAGCUGCUUUG